UGCAGUUUUAAAACCUGUAGACAUGCAAGACCAUGUUUUAGAAAAAAGAGACAUGUAGUUUACAUAAUAACUCAAAGAGAAAACUACAAUUUAGCAGUACUAUCAAUUUCAAAACCAUUUUCUGUUGCAUAAAAACACUUUAUAGCACUCCAAAACCAAAUUAUUUCACAAAACCAUAGUAUUUUUCUAAAACUUCCAAAAUACUUUGCAUCAAACAGGGCCUUGGCAGCGCACAGGAAACUAAUGUCACCAUUUUCCUGCAAGUUAUCCUUCUUCCAUAACCGGUAACUCCAUGACCAGACACAACAAAGGAGAACGCAUCGGCGAUGAAUCGGCGCUGCUCGUGUCCUGCCUCCGGUAGCACUAGAUCGACGGCGGGGACAUCAAGUCUUCGGCCUCGCAGUCCCUGGCCAUGCUGCGGCGAGAUUGGAAGGGGGCGCAUGCGGCGAUGGGAUUGGAAGGGGGCGAUACACAGGGCAGUGACAGGAUUGAGUUAGAGGAGAUGCGCGGAGGGGCGGCGUGCGCUGGGGAUAAUGGGCAUUGACGAGAUGUGCAGGGGAGCGUGCAUGAUAGAAUAAAG
rnacentral:lncRNA from 7 species